rfam:Danio rerio chromosome 4, GRCz11 reference primary assembly.
GGAUUGGAGGUUCAGUGGAAGAAUUCUCCCCUGCCAGGCGGGAAACCCAGGUCCGAUUCCUGGCCAAUGCA